UUUAAAUCGUAAAGGUUUAUUCUACUCACCUCUGGCUGAAGCUCUACUGACUCAGAAGCAGCUGAACUCACUGCUGGGGUCCUCGGUUCCUCGGGUCCGAACCUACACAGGUGGACUCAAAUGAGGGACCAAACAACUAGAACAUAAUUCUAAAAACAUCCCCCAAAAACCCCCUAAAACACCUCAAAACAAUCAUGCAAAAACAUGCAAAGG
rnacentral:lncRNA from 1 species